UACGUAGGGGGCAAGCGUUGUCCGGAAUCAUUGGGCGUAAAGCGCGUGUAGGCGGCCAGAAAAGUCCGCUGUGAAAACUCGAGGCUCAACUUCGAGCUGUCGGUGGAAACUUUCUGGCUAGAGUCCGGAAGAGGAGAAUGGAAUUCCUGGUGUAGCGGUGAAAUGCGUAGAUAUCAGGAGGAACACCCGUGGCGAAGGCGAAUCUCUGGACCGGUUCUGACGCUGAGGAGCGAAAGCUAGGGGAGCGAACAGG
rnacentral:rRNA from 1 species